rnacentral:rRNA from 1 species
UACGUAGGGAGCAAGCGUUGUCCGGAAUCAUUGGGCGUAAAGCGCGCGUAGGCGGCCCCGUAAGUCCGCUGUGAAAGUCAAAGGCUCAACCUUUGAAAGCCGGUGGAUACUGUGGGGCUAGAGUCCGGAAGAGGCGAGUGGAAUUCCUGGUGUAGCGGUGAAAUGCGCAGAUAUCAGGAGGAACACCUAUUGCGAAGGCGGGUUGCUGGGCCGACACUGACGCUGAGGCGCGAAAGCCAGGGGAGCGAACGGG